AGUUGGUGAGAAUGUACCUCCA
rnacentral:siRNA from 1 species